UGUUGACUGUUGGAAACAGGCCUGUGUUCUUUGUUCCCUCUCAAAGCAGAUGUGGUCUCCAGGUCGUAUGUGUGAUUUGUCAUGGUCAAAAGAGGGAGGCCCAGGGAACACUGGUGAACUGUGGAGAAGACAUGAACAGCUGAAGAGUUGAAUCAGAAAUGACUGGUUGGCCACAUCUUUUGCAAGCAGGUGACAUCUGCAAACAUCUAAUGGAAAACUGCAGUGGCAUUUCUGUCAGGGCAAGCACCCAGCCAGGGGUCACAGCUCUGCCAGUCUGUCCCAGACUGCCACACCCAUUCAGACCGUCUCAAAGCCGGACACUUGGGACUUUUAAGGCCCUGAUGAGCCCUGUGAGCACAGCAGUAACAAAACCUCCAAUCACAGCUGCUCCGACCAACCAAGCCCAGAUCUGACGGGCUUGCUGAAGAUAGGGUGUCAAAAAGUCUUGGAAAGACUGAAGGGCUUGAAAAAUCAAACAGAAAAAUAAAGAACAUUUAACUUGAUGCAAUGUACUGUCAGUUUAUGGAAGCUCUAUAAUAGAUAAUACUGGAAGGCUGAGUAUAAAGAGGCAAGUUUGGUAGAGAUUAUCUGAGAGCCACAAAUAGUUUUAAACAAAUCACUUCAGCCCUGAUAGUCUGUUUCUCAAUCUUCACGUCCAAGGCUGGCACAGAGUUCACUGUCCCUAGUGCUCCUCACAGUUUUGUCAAAACUUCAGACUGUAACCCAAGAAGUUUGAUAUUGUGUGACCAAAGGUCCUGCUAGCUCAGCAUCCUUCGGCAAUAAUAACUGAGGCAGAACACUAGGGAGAGUUUAAGAAAAGGUCGAGUCUAUUACAAUGUUUCCACAAAAUACUUACACAGCCUCCAAAAAUUUUCAGGUCAGAGAAUUCCUA